CAGCCGUAAACUAUGCUCGCUAGGUGUCAGGCAUGGCGCGACCGUGUCUGGUGCCGCAGGGAAGCCGUGAAGCGAGCCACCUGGGAAGUACGGCCGCAAGGCUGAAACUUAAAGGGAAUUGGCGGGGGAGCACAACAACGGGUGGAGCCUGCGGUUUAAUGGACUCAACGCCGGACAACUCACCGGGGACGACAGCAAUAUGUAGGCCAGGCUGAAGACCUUGCCUGAAUCGCUGAGAGGAGGUGCAUGGCGUAGACGUCU
rnacentral:rRNA from 1 species